GCCAAUGAGGUAAGGAGGCGGGGCUGGGGCGUGUGUGGAAGGACCCCAGGGAUUGUUGUGGCGUCAGACGCGCAGAGUAGCGGUCUGUGUCCAAGGCUCGGGUGUUCUCUGCGGCCAUGAGCUACACAGGCUUUGUCCAAGGAUCCGAAACCACUUUGCAGUCUACCUACUGUGACACCAGUGCCCAGCCCACCUGUGAUUAUGGAUAUGGAACUUGGAACUCUGGGACAAAUAGAGGCUACGAGAACUAUGGUUAUGGCUAUGGCUAUGGCCAGGAUAACACCACCAACUAUGGGUAUGGUAUGGCCACUUCACACUCUUGGGAAAUGGCUAACUCUGACACAAAUGCAAACCCUAGUGCCUCGGGUAGCGCCAGUGCCGAUUCCGUUUUAUCCAGAAUUAACCAGCGCUUAGAUAUGAUGCCACACUUGGAGACAGACAUGAUACAAGGAGGUGUGUACGGCUCAGGUGGUGGAGAAAGAUAUGAUUCCUAUGAGGCCUGUGACUCAAGGGCCAUCCUGAGUGAACGAGACCUCUACCGGUCGAGCUAUGACUAUGGCGAGCUUGACCCUGAGAUGGAAAUGGCCUAUGAGGGUCAAUAUGAUGCCUACCGUGACCAGUUUCGAAUGCGUGGAGGAGAUACAUUUGGUCCAAGGGCUCAGGGCUGGGCCCGGGAUGCCCGGAGUGGACGGCCAAUGGCCUCGGGCUAUGGGCGCAUGUGGGAAGACCCCAUGGGGGCCCGGGGCCAGUGCAUGCCUGGUGCCUCCCGGCUGCCCUCCCUCUUCUCCCAGAACAUCAUACCCGAGUAUGGCAUGUUCCAGGGCAUGCGUGGUGGGGGUGCCUUCUCUGGUGGCUCCCGAUUUGGCUUCGGAUUUGGCAAUGGCAUGAAGCAGAUGAGGCGGACCUGGAAGACCUGGACCACAGCGGACUUCCGGACCAAAAAGAAGAAGAGAAAGCAGGGUGGCAGUCCUGAUGAGCCAGACUGCAAGGCUACCAGAACAGACUGCUCAGACAACAGUGACUCAGACAACGAUGAAGGUACUGAGGGGGAAGCUGCAGAGGGUGCUGAAAGUGCUGAGGCUCUGGAGAAAGGCUCCCGAGCAGAAGGAGAGGACGAGGAGGGAAAAGAAGAUGGGAGAGAAGAAGGCAAAGAAGAUUUGGAGAAAGGGGCCCUGACCGCCCAGGAUGAGAGCAGCCAGGCCAAGCGCAAGUUGCAGGCAAGCAAGAAGAGCCAAGACAAACAGAAAAAGCGGCAGCGGGACCGUAUGGUGGAAAGGAUCCAGUUUGUCUGUUCUCUCUGCAAAUACCGGACCUUCUAUGAAGACGAGAUGGGUAGCCACCUUGAUAGCAAGUUCCACAAGGAACACUUCAAAUAUGUAGGCACCAAGCUUCCCAAGCAGACAGCUGACUUUCUGCAGGACUAUGUCACCAACAAGACCAAGAAGACAGAGGAGCUCCGAAAAACUGUAGAGGACCUUGAUGGUCUGAUCCAACAAAUCUACAGAGACCAAGAUCUGACCCAAGGUGAGGAGGUUCCAUCCCACCAGGAUGGCUGCCACCAGAAAUUGCUAUGGAGCAUUUUGUGAAGAAGGUGGAGGCGGCCCAUUGUGCAGCCUGUGACCUUUUCAUCCCCAUGCAGUUUGGAAUCAUCCAAAAGCAUCUCAAGACUAUGGAUCACAACCGAAACCGCAGGUACUGGAGUUGAGACAAACCUACAAGCUUGUACAUAUAGCAAGCACUUAGCCACUGAGCAACAUUCUCAGCUGUUCUGUUAUGAGGCGUGAUCCCACAAUGUCGGUCAGGCUGGCCUGACACUUGCUUGGCUGCCCCUAAGUGGCCUAGAACUGACGAUCUUCCUGCUUCAACCACCUGAGUAUUUGGAUUAUAGGCAGGCACUGUCAUAGCCUGCCAAAAGUUUAAUUUUAAUAAAAUACUCUCUAUUGUGCCUUUUAUUGUUCAUGCUUAGGGUGUAUUAUAUGAAAAUGUGUUAAAGGUCAUGUAGGAACUCCACCACUUCCCGCUCCUCCUUUUUGAGAUGGGAGUCUCACUAUGUAUGUGUCUAUGCUUGGCCUAGAACUUGCUAUAUAGAGAGGCUAGCUUUGAACUUAUGGCAGUCUUCUUGCCUCUGCCUCAUAUUCCAGGUUUCAUCUUUUACAAUUAGGCCUUAACCCAUUUAAUUGUUUUAUCAUAUGAGGGUAGGACCUAAUUUCAUUUUUCUGCAUGUGAAUAUCCAGUAAUCCCAAUACCAUUUGUAAGACAGUUCUUAUCCCCAAUAAAUGACCAUUGCUCCAUGUAGAAAGUCAGUUGACAAUAACUAUGUUUAUUUCUGGACUCCAAUUCCAUUCCAUUGUUUUUGGUCCUUUUUGGGGGAGGUGGGAUAAGGGACUAAUUUGUUGUUGUUGAGAGUUCUUACUCUGUAACUUGGACUAGCCUUGAAUUGGAAUUAUUCUUUGUGUCUCUGCCUAUGUGCUGGAAUUUAUUCUUUGUACUGUAGCCUCAUAAUUAAAUUCAGAAUGUGUGAUGUGUCCAACGUUGUUUUCAAUAUUGAUUCUGUUUGUAUCAGUUGUAUGCUCUUUGGUUUUAGUAUUAACUUGUCAUUUUUACUGAAAAACCAAACUGGUGUUCUGAUAAAAUUAUGUUGUGUUUUUAGAUGAUUUGGGGAAGUCCUGUUAUCUUACAAUAUUGUGUUUGUUGCCUCUUGGUGCAGUGAAUAGAGUGUUAGUCUUGUAGUAUUGUCUUCUAAUUAAUGGUUAUGAGUCUUUUUCUUUUAUUUUGGGCUUUUUGUUUCUAAUCCUUCUCUCCUUUCCCCAGUAUUUUCAGAGUAUGGUUUAUGCCUGGUAUGGUAGCACAGCCCCUUAUCUAAGUCAGCCCUGGGAAGGCACAGGCAGGUGGAGCUCUCAGAGUUUAAGGCUAGCUUGGUCUACAUAGUGAGUUCCAGGAUCAAUCAGGGCCAGUUUGACAGUUGUUUUCUUAAAGCAUUUCUAGUGUGUUGUUUUACUGUCUUUUGGCUUCACCUAUCUGAGGAGAUACCCAUUUGUAAGGGAGGUUUUAUUUGCUUUCAAGCUUUUUCCUUAUCUUGGGCUCUUAUCUCAUUCUCUUGGUCUUUCCCCCCCCCCCCCACCUUCUCCUCUCCCCUCCCUCUCCCUCUUCCUUCCCUCUCCCUCCCUCCCCUCUCCCUCCUCCCUCCCUCUCUCUCCCUCCCCCUUGCUCCCCUCUCCCUCCUCCCACUCUGCCUCCUCCCUCGCUCUCCCCCCCUUUAUGAACAAGAGUAUGUGGGCCCUGUAUGCUUAGCACACUGUGCCCUAAGGCACACCUGGCUCUAGGAUGGCAGCUGAGCUGUUAUCUCUGCAUCUGGAAGUGAAGUGAGCCUCUCCACAGGCAGCAGGGGAAGGAGGAGAAAUGCAGUUGUUGCUGUCACUGGGCCAAAGUAUCUGUUCUUUAUUAAGCAGUUCUUCAUCUACUGUUUGUCGUUUGGAACAUUUCCAGGUACUUCAAAUGGUAGGUUUUGUUUUUAAGUCUUAUCAAUCUCAUUAGAGAAUGGAACUCAGACUACCAUGCUGGAAGCUUAUCUACUCUAAGUAAAAUUUUAGGCUUCCAGUUUGUUUCUUGGUGAAAGAGAAGAGAGUGCGUGCGUGCGUGCGUGCCUGUUAGGGAGGGUUGUGUAGAUAGGGAUAUGUUUGCACAUAUAUUCCAUGUGCUGAAGGCUAGAAAACAACCAUAGGAUGUCAUUCCUCAGUCACUAUGACCCCUUCCCUCCCCCUCCUUCUUUUAAUCUUCACUUAACUGACCUGGAACCUACCAAGUAGUCUGCUAGAUGGCCCACAAACCCCAGGGACCAUCCUGCCUCUACUUCCCAGUGCUGGGACUAUAAAUACAUACCACCACAACACCUUUUAUAUGGUAUCUGAAGGUUGGACUCAGGUCCUCAUGCCUCAGGCACUUUACUGACUGAGGCAUCUCCCAGCCACCGCUCGUUUGUUUGCUUGUUUGUUUGGUUGGUUGGUUUGGUUUUGGUUGACUCGUAGAAUCUCUCUGUAGCCUAGGCUGGCCUUCAAGUCUCAGUGCCCCUGCCUCUACUUCCUAACUGCUGGGAUUACAGGCAUCUGCCUACUAAACCCAUCUACAAAGCCUCUUAAACUUUAAUUCCAAAGAUCAGAAAAAGAUAAUACCACAAUGAAGUUAUAGAUCAGAUUACUAUUAAAAAUAGGAAGGUGUGAAAAGAAAAAUAUCAAGUUAGUAGUAAUGUAAACACAGUAAAUUAUAAUUAGUCUUAUAUCUGGUCUGCAAGAAUGACUCAGUAAGAAUCUAGCAACAUUCUUAGCAUAAAAUACUGGGAGGGAAAGUGACAAUCUUUUUUAAAAUUACAUUUAAUCUUUUGUUUAUAUGUGCUGGCAUGCAUGUUCUAUACAUGUGGAAGUCUGAGGACAACUUUCUUGGGAGUUAGGCUUUCUCCCUUCAUCAUAGGUCCGGGGGAUAGAACUCAGGUCCCUAGAUUUGGCAGGUAGUAAGUACCUUUACCCAUUGAAGUCAUCUUGCCAGCUCUGUAGUAACAUUCUUAGAGAAGCUGAAUGAUUAUAGCAAAAUGAUCUCAAAGUUAGUGAAUGUAGUAAGAGGGAUAGGAAUUAAGAUACUCAAAAAAAUGGCAUGUCGGGCUGGAGAGAUGGCUCGGUGGUUAAGAGCACUGACUGCUCUUCCAGAGGUCCUGAGUUCAAAUCCCAGCAACCACAUGGUGGCUCAUAACCAUCUGUAAAGAGAUCCGAUGCCCUCUUCAGGUGUGUCUGAAGACAGCUACAGUGUACUCAUAUAUAAUAAAUGAAUAAAUCUUUAAAAAAAAUGGCAUGUCUAACAGUGGCCAAAAAUACUGUACAAAGAGCAGUUUUGAGUUCAGGAACUUGCUUAGCAGAUAUUUAAAACUUACUGCAAAGCCAAUAUACUUUAAUAUUAAAAAAAAAAAAAAAGCUGAUGUUGACCAUUGAUAAAACAGUGCCACCAAGCCUGGCAGUGGUGGCCCACGCCUUUAAUCCCAUCACUUAGAUCAGAGACAGGUUGAUCUUUGAGUUCAAGCCCAGCCUGGUCUACAGAGUGAGUUCCAGGAUAGCCAGAGCUGCACAGAGAAACCUUUUCUCGAGAAACCAAAAACACACAAAAAACAGGGUAGCCAGACAGUCCAGAAAGAUCCCAGUAUGUCUCAGAACUCAUCUGCUUAUUUUGGUGAUAGUAUAGGUAGGGCAGGAGGUUUGGGUUUCAGAAAGCCAAUCUGGUAUUAUACGAACUUCCACUGGGAUGUGGGAAAGUACUUUAUAGUUAAAUACUGAAUAAUUUGCCUUUAAUCCCAAUACUCAGAAAAUAGAGGCAGGCAGCUCUCUUUGAGUUUGAGACCAGUCUGGUCUACAGAGUUCUAAAAUGACCAGUGCUAUGCAGAGAAACCUUGUCUCUAAAAACCAAAACCAAACCAAAAUGACAAAAAAUUAUAUAGAUAGGAUUAUAGCCUUUUAUUGUAGUUUAGUAGGAAAAUACUGGUAUAUUUUAUAAAUUUGCAACAUACCAUCUAUUAAAUUCUAGGAAUUUUAAAUUAAAAAAUAAAGAGGACCAGGAAGAAAAUUAAAUCAUUUGUUUACUUUACUGUUCAAAGAAAUCUUCCUGAGCAGGCCAGGCAAUCUAGAAGCCAAGAGGGCUUCGCAUAUAGAAAUUCUGAGCAGUUAUUUCCAGUGUGCACAUCAGAGCACUCAGGGUUGCUGACAGCCAGGGCAAUGGCACCAGAAGAACAAACUUUUAUCUCAAGGCAAAAAUGUAACAACUGCUGCUGAGAAGAGGCAGGUAAGAGGAAUCUAUCUGUUUUGCCUGUCCUGACCUGAACCUUCGGGUUCACCUGAUCUUUCUGCCUCUGCAGUAGCUAUUACUAUAGAUGUGGUCUAACUAAGCAGGUCAGGUGCUCCUAUUUUCUGCCUGGGAGCUCUAUAGCUGGCUGUUUUAAUGCUAGUACAGUAAGUGUAAGUCACUAUUGGAUCAAGGUCAAGGAAGCACGGGAUAACUAAGCUGUCACAGUAGAUACUACUUGGUUAAAGUUAAAAGCACCAGCCUGAAAGUAUGUCCGUUGGCUUUGUUCUUGUUUUUGAGUAUUUCAGAUGUUUGGUCCUUGUGCUGAACAGUUAUUUGUGUUCAACUUCUGCACACACAGAGGGGGUAAGAAAGGACACUGUUGGCCAGUGAAAAUUAUUGAGGAACUGUAGUAGUAGUCCAAUUCUUUACCUUAACCUGUUACUUGAGUAUACUUAGUCUGUUAGUAGAUAAAAUGUCUAAAGGAAACUGAAGUCUAGUGAGGCGCUCAGUGGUAAAGGCACUUGCCAUGCUUGACUGCCUGUAUUUGAGCCCUGGGACACUCGUGCUGGAAAGAGAGAACCAACUCCCUUUCAUUCUUUCUCUGGUUUCAUAGUCAUGUCUGUACUCUUAUGACUGAAAAAUGACCCAGCGUGUUGAUGUGAAGUCUUCCAGACAGAAUGACUGGGAUAUGAUAGUACAGGUCUGUAGUUUCAGCAUUAGGAGGUCAAGAGGAUCACAAGUUCAGAGCCAGUUUAUAAACCAGGCCUAGUCUAAUGUUCCUGUAAUCCCAACACUUGGAAGGCUGAGGCAGGAAAAUUGCCACAAAUUUGAGAGACCAGCAUGGACUAUAGUGAGUUCAGGCCAGCCUGACCUACAAAAUGUCUCAAGCAAAAAAUAAUUCCAAAAGAACCAAACAAGUCCCAGAAAGACAGCAAGACCUUGUCUCAACAAAACAAAACAAAAGGCCCAGGCUUCACACCUCAUCGCAUGUCUUUUAUACUCUGCCAGCAGGCCUUGAUAGGAGGAGCUGUUUUAUUUCUAAUUCUUAAACUCUGGGAUAGGGAUUACUGAGGCUAAUCUGUAUUUCUGGUGUAUUCAAUCAAACAGCUUUUCAAGUCUGUAGCCAGUUGCUCUACCAGUAGAGAAGUGUCUCUUUUCAACUUUUCCAUUAUAUAUUUCUCCAUGUUCAAAUCCUGGGAGUUAAAGGAUGCACACCAUUUAAAUAUAGUUUCGUGUGUUUUCUCCUUUUGUUUUGGCAGUCUUAUGUAGUCCAAGCUGUCCUGGAAUUCACUCUAUAAGUCAGACUGGCCUUGAAUUUGCAGUGGUUCUCUCUUCCUCGUUAGUGUUGGGCUUAUAGGUGUGCAUUGCUAGGGCCGAUUUAUACCCUCCUUAUCGGUUCUAAACAAUCGCCUUGCAUGCUAGGGCAAUUUGCUCCUAGGUGCCUGCAUGUGGGCGCACGCGUGUAUGUUAGCAUGUGUGUAGAAGUCAAUGGAGGGCAACUUGCAGGAGUUGGUUCUCUCCUUUAUCCUAUGUGACCUUGGAAUUGGGUUCAAUUUACCAAACUUGGUAACAAGUGCUUUUAAGCCACUGAGUCAUCUUGGCGACCUAUUACUGUUUUUAUAUUUUACUUUUUUUGUUGUAACCGUGGGGUGGUUUUUCUUUUUUUGGGGGGGGGGGGGGUCUGUGUCUUGGCUGUCCUGGAACUUGCUCUGUAGACCAGACUGGCCUUGAACUCAACGAAGAUCCACCCACCUGCCUCAGCCUAAAGGUGUGUGCCACCAAGCCCAGCCCUACGUUUUACUUGUAAUAUAUUUUACAACUGGUAUGUGCGCGCGCGCGCGCGCGCGCGCGCGCGCGUGUGUGUGUGUGUGUGUGUGUGUGUGUGUGUGUGUGUGUGUGUGUCUGUGUCUGUGUCUGUGUCUGUCUGGGGAUUGAACCUAGGACUUUAAGAAUACUAAGAAGGGGCUGGGGAUUUAGCUCAGUGGUAGAGCGCUUACCUAGGAAGCGCAAGGCCCUGGGUUCGGUCCCCAGCUCCGAAAAAAAGAACCAAAAAAAAAAAAAAAAAAAAAAAAAGAA